GAGUUUGAUCAUGGCUCAGGAUGAACGCUAGCGGCAGGCUUAACACAUGCAAGUCGAGGGGUAUAGUUCUUCGGAAUUAGAGACCGGCGCACGGGUGCGUAACGCGUAUGCAAUCUACCUUUCACAGAGGGAUAGCCCAGAGAAAUUUGGAUUAAUACCUCAUAGUAUAACGACUCUGCAUGGAGAUGUUAUUAAAGUCACAACGGUGAAAGAUGAGCAUGCGUCCCAUUAGCUAGUUGGUAAGGUAACGGCUUACCAAGGCUACGAUGGGUAGGGGUCCUGAGAGGGAGAUCCCCCACACUGGUACUGAGACACGGACCAGACUCCUACGGGAGGCAGCAGUGAGGAAUAUUGGACAAUGGGCGCAAGCCUGAUCCAGCCAUGCCGCGUGCAGGAUGACGGUCCUAUGGAUUGUAAACUGCUUUUGCACAGGAAGAAACAACGCUACGUGUAGCGUCUUGACGGUACUGUGAGAAUAAGGAUCGGCUAACUCCGUGCCAGCAGCCGCGGUAAUACGGAGGAUCCAAGCGUUAUCCGGAAUCAUUGGGUUUAAAGGGUCCGUAGGCGGUUUAGUAAGUCAGUGGUGAAAGCCCAUCGCUCAACGGUGGAACGGCCAUUGAUACUGCUAGACUUGAUUAUUAGGAAGUAA
rnacentral:rRNA from 1 species